CUUUUUUUAGUAUUUUCAUAAUCAAACAUUUUAAAAUUGAUAACCAAUCACAUAAUAUUAAAUCUUGGGCAUUCUUAAACUUGAAAAUCUAUAGCUUCAAAUCGUACUUCUUGAAAAAAAACCAAGAAUAAAUAUUUUGUUAGGAUGAUAAAAUAUAUUGUUAAUCGACACAAAUAUCAAGUAGACAUAAGAAGAUUUGCAAUUCUCUUGCGUUCGUCAUCCAUUUCUCGUGCACGAGUUACAUUUUCUUGUACAAUAGUCUCUUCCGUACUAGUCCUUCCAUCAUCUGUCUGGGGAUAACUCUUCAUCAUCAUCAUAUGUUGGAACUCUACAUCCGUCAUUGGAUGAAUUCUUAUGAAGUUAUGGCGAGCCAUUGAAGCAACAACGUCUUGUACUUGUUUUUCCAAAGGAAAAUUAUGAAUUUGACAUACCAUUCUCCAUAGGUUUUUCCAAACACCAAAUGUUCUUUCAAUUAUGCAUCUUAGAGAUGAAUGUUUGUGAUUGAAGAUUUCUUGAGUAAUUGACAAUUUCUUAAAUGAGGUAAUGAGCAGAAAGAGGUAAGGUGUCAUAAAACUCGAACUAUAGGUACUUGUAAGGGUCUCCAACAAUUUCUUAAACCUAUGUUUUUCCAUUCCAACAUGGGUUUAAGAAAUUGUUGGAGACCCUUACAAGUACCUAUAGUUUGAAAGAAGGUGGAGAAAUACCAUUAC
rnacentral:lncRNA from 1 species